UGGGGUAGGUUUUUUUUUCUGGAGAUUCUUCUUCUUGGGAGUUUUUCCUGCAAACUUAGAUCUUUGGAUACAGACAAUAACUUCGAACACUAACUUGAAGCUUUCAUUGAGAGCAUAGAUUCUACAGCAACCAAGUAACAAAUGUUAAGCAAGGAAUUGUUCAUGAGACUGUUCCUCUCACGUUGGUGCUCAUCACUUACAAUUUGAAGGCAUCUUACCAGAUGGUAGUCGUUGCUGGAUUGUGCAGAGAAUUCCCGGAGCGCAACACGUCAGUGACUCGUGUACAUCUCCUUGAGGAAUAAGGGUGCAUGUUGGAGAG